GCAACUUGAGGCCCAAGUCCAACAGUUCAGAAAUAGAGUAAAAAAAUACACCUUGAAACCCUAAAGAUCCGACCCAUCAGCUUUGUUAGCCAAGAGCCAACUACGCCUCUGUGAAAUUGAAGCAUUGUUUCAGAACGAAAAUGGAAGAGUUGGAAGUCGGGGAUGACACGAAGAAGGUCAGAGAGAGUAAAAAAAAAUGUUGCUUUGUGUCACCUCUUUUGUUUGGACCUUUGCUUUCUUUGCAAGUUUGACAUUUAUAAUGAAGAAUGUCUUAGGACCACUGUCACCCCUACUUCUUUUUCACAUCUGGACUUCUUUAGUUUUCUUCAAUUGGGGAAGUGAAUUUAUGUUUAUUAGUUUUUAAUUGUUUCUUUUAUGUGUUGUUUCUUAGGAGUAUUACUUUUGUUUCAUUGUUCUUCAUUUUUUAUUUCUCUAUUUCUCGCACAGGGACCAUGCUUUCAGUGUGGGGAGGACAUUUAUUCAAACCAUUAUACUGCCUAUUUGUUUUGCGUGAUACAUGCAUGUGGUUUUUCUGGCACUUAUUUUGGCUUUCUUUUUCUUUUAUCAUAUUUUGGGAAUAAAUGAGAUUGCUCAUUCAAAUUGAAAUAAAAUAAAAUAAAGAGAGAGAUUUAGUUAGAAGACUUUGCCAAUAG
rnacentral:lncRNA from 1 species